UUACUUAUCACUCAAGUUAUACGAUAUUCAGUCUUAAUACCACGAUAUGAAAUUCUGUUUCAACUGAUCAUUUGGUAGCCAGCGAAUAGAACCGCAUCUCGUUGCUUGCCCUGUUCGGGCGAACAUGGAGGUUACGAUGAGAGAUUCAAGUCCUCAAAGUUACGCAGGCAUAGAGUGAAACUCUGAUCUGUUAACGAUUGACGCAGAUGCUUUAAGCCCAUUGUCGCAGUUUCCACUCAGCCCAGAGGUACUAUCACUUAAAUUGCCGCCACAGCCUGUUAGUGUUAACAGUAGCAUAACACCACUGAAGGAGGACCUCUUACGCAGUUGUGUGACGCCUCGAAAAGUGCAGCGUGUUCGCGCGACCUUGCAGUCCGAGAAGGAUCGAUGUAAGUGCGCCAUAAAGUUUCUGCCGGACUUCUUCACCGAAGACGAACUGGCGGUGAGCAACACCGAGGGCAAUUUUGGCAAGCAACCGCUUGACAAAACCAAACUCCACACUUUGAAAGUGCUAAUCUUCACGACGUUUCCUGUCGGACAUGAGGAGGAAGAAAGCAAGUGCUGGCGACUUGUAAAGUGUAAAAUAAAUGCCAAGUGUCGGUUCAAAAGAUUCGAACGUGCUGCCCGCGAGAAAUAAAUUAUUUUAAAUUUUUUAUAGGUUUCGAAAUGGUAAAUGACGGUACUUUCAAAUGAUGUUUUCAAAUAAUGCUUUCCAAAAUUGUGUGACCUGUGACAAUAUUUUUACGAUUACAAAAUAAGAACCUUCUUGUCAGCCGUUACAGAAUGUUAGAGUUAGGUUGAGUGUUGAAUUGCAAUUGAACGUUUGAAGAAGGAUUUUUCGCCGUGAUGUAAUGCCAUAAUUAAUUGUCUAACCUUUUGAAUUAGCGAAGUAGUCUCAAAAUAAAGAAGACUUGUUUAUAAUUAAAGCGUCCCAUUUACCAUAACUAUUGAUUUUCUCUUCCAGUGUUAACCUCCUGCAGCCACAUGAUUUGCCUUUGUCAAGCAUCAGUUUUCUUGCGAACAAAAGUAUGCAAAUUAAAAUUUUACGCAUGUUUACUUUUCAUUGAAAAAUUGACACGCGCCUUGGAUGAUUCGGAAGUCUGUAAAUUUCAUUGUUGUCUUCGCAUGUGUUAGGCAGGAAUUUUCAGGCGGCACCUGGAGAUGAUUUGAGUUUGACAACGCUCAUGAAGAUAGCAUGUACUUGUAAUGAUUUUAGAUCGGCAUUAGAUACUCAAUGAAGUAAACAACGAUGUGAUGAUUGCGUUGUCCAUUUCUAACAGUGCAGUGCUCGUUAGACAUUAAAUUUUUCUGUCACUAUGGCCUUUUCUAAAGCGGUUCCAUACUUGAAAA